AGGAUGGUCUCGAUCUCCUGACCUCGUGAUCCACCCAUCUCGGCCUCUCAAAGUGCUGGGAUUACAGGCUUGAGCCACCGUGCCCGGCCGUAUUUUUUGUUUGUUUGUGUUUUGUAGAGACGGGGUCUCACUGUGUUGCCCAGGCUAGUCUUGAACUCCUGGGCUUAAGUGAUGGUACCACUUUGGCCUCCCGAAGUGCUGGGAUUACAGGCAUGAGCCACCAUGCCUGGCCAACAGUGUUUAUUUUUGUAACUUUUUUUAAAUCAUAAAAAGACCUUAACAUGUGAACAGAAAGAAGGAGCCUUCUCUAAUUUUCCUAUUUCUGAAGAGACUAUAAAGCUUCUGAAAGCAUUUGGCCAUCCAGUGUCAUUGGUCUCAGAGGCCGGCAGUUAUUGGAGAUGUCCUUCAAGUCUACAGUGGGUCUGAAGGGAGGGCUAUUAUUUUCUGUGAGACCAAAAAGAAUGUAACUGAAAUGGCCAUGAAUCCACACGUAAAACAGGUAAGUCUUUUUUUCAUGCUUUCUCUAAUUGAAAUUAUGGGGAUGAAUUACUGAAUGAAAAUUAUAUUGUCCUUUGUGGACCAGAUUUCAUAGUCAUUCUCAAAAUUCAGUUGUAAGGCUGGGUGUGGUGGCUCACACCUGUAAUUAAGUCAGGAUAGAUUUUAUCAGUUUUGUUUGUUUGUCUUGAGACAGGGUCUCCCUGUUAUGCCCAGGCUGGAGUGCAGUGGGACAGUCAUAGCUCACUGCAUUCUUGACUUCCUGGGCUCAGGUGAUUCUCCCACCCCAGCCUCUUGAAUAGCUGGGACUACAGGCGCGUGCUACAAUGCCCAGCUAAUUUUUUGCGUAUUUUGUAGAGAUGAGAUUUCACCAUGUAGCCCAGGCUGGUCUUGAACUCCUGGGCUCAAGCAAUUCCCCCCGACCCCGCCUCUGCCUUGUGGCCUGCCAGAGUGCUGGGAUUACAGGUGUGAGCCAUCACACCUGACCUUGAUCAGAUUUUAUCAUUUUUUUUUUAAGACUGAAAAUGUGAUCUGGAAAAUAUAAAAGUUGAAACAAAAUGAAUUUCUAUGGGUAAGAGAGGGUAAUAUUUUAGAGUUGUGUUAUAAAACUGCAAAUUUUUAUUAAAUUAAUAAAUCAGAAUACUAAAUCCAUGUGUCUUUUUCUUUCUCAAAAAAUAUCUUUUGGCUGGGUGCGGUGGCUCACGGCUGUAAUCCAGCACUUUGGAAGGCCAAGGCAGGUGGAUCGCCUGAGGUCAGGAAUUCAAGACCAGCCUGGUCAGCAUGGUGAAACCCCAUCUUUACUAAAAAUAUAAAAAUUAGCCGGUGUGGUGGUGGGUGCCUGUAAUCCCAGCUGCUCAGGGGGCUGAGGCAGGAGAAUCGCUUGAACCCAGGGUUGGAGGUUGUGGUGAGCUGAGAUCAUGCCACUACACUCCAGCCUGGAUGACAGAGUGAGACUCUGUCUCAAAAAAAAAAAAAAAAAAAA
rnacentral:lncRNA from 1 species